rnacentral:tRNA from 1 species
GCGGGGGUAGCUCAGCCUGGUCUAAGGCGCCAGAUUGAGGGUCUGGUUCCGUAGGGAUUCGCCGGUUCAAAUCCGGCCCUCCGCA